CUUAUUAAUGUAUUUUCAUUUUAUUGUCAAUAGGCCAUCAAAAAGGCUGUAUGAAUCGGAUAGUGACACUGAUGAGAAUGAGACAGACACCGAGAGUAGGCCAUCACAAGUUAUUGACCAAGCAACAACGCCCAAACAGGCACAAAGCCUACUUUCACUUCCGCCUUGCUUAUCUGCACAGGCAUUGCGAGAGGCCAGCAGUGAUGUGCAAAGUGCUUCUCUUAUACAAGGUGCUUCUGAUACGCCCUCCCGUGGGCAGAUUAUUGGGCCCACUGCUGUUACACAGAUUCUCUGAGUCUUGGAGACAAUGCGGGAGGAGAAUCGUGAAAUUAAGAGGAUGAUGUAGCAAUUGUUGUCAAGGUCAGCAGCAGAUGACCAACCGCUGCAGCUUCCUGAAGAUAUCUCAUUCCCUAUUCGUUCUCCUUAGCAGAUGGAAACAUUCGAUGAGCUUCUGGGAGAUCAGACAAAGCUGUCAUCUGUGGUGCGGUUCCUCUCAAUGUUUGGUGGGGCAGUUGUGCGGGAAACUGUUGACCGCUAGAUGAAAGAAACCAUGUCAAAUGAACUGGCAAGAAUGUACAAUAUGAAGGG